UUUGCGGCAAAUCAGACUCAAUUUUAAGUGUAUUUACGUUUUUCGCUUGACCGUGCACUGUCUAGUGAGAAGGCGGCCAUGUUUGAAUCCACAAAGAAAGAUGCGUUUGAACGAAAAGGUUUAGUUUCGCGAAACUUGUCCAGAAAAGUAGAAAUCUUUUGCCAAAUAUUGGUAGAGCAUUGAAAAGUACCUACUACAUAAAGAUGUUGGAGCUUUCAUUAUCAAGAUUAUUCUGCCACCCGAUCCUGGACCGCAACUCUAGGUUCCUGCAGGCCAUGGCUAUGGCCAUUCCUGUUCUCAUUUCGGAAAGACAACGGAGUUCUUGGCCCCAUAGAAGGGGAUUUUGACAAAGUUCCAGAGCAACGUUCCGGUGACCAGAGGCAGAUUCUCCCCGUCUUUUCCGGAAUACCUCGUUGUGGAAUCGAUUCCUGCUUUAUUUUUAACAAGCAAGCUUCUCGCCUGGCCCCAGCCGAAACAGUUUCAAACAAGGUUAGGUUGAUUCGAUUGUCGUCAACUGACCAGAUCCGGAGUGAAGAUUGUCCACACAGAUCUUCUAGUGGAAGGGGAACGGAUUCGUGCCCCGUGACAGUUUCGAGCAGUUUGAGGCCGCCAGCUGAUGAACGGGUCGGAGGACGGGCCGGAACAUGGACGGAUUAAUUUGGCGAAAAUAGUGCUUUUGAAUGAAUCAGAAAAAGUGAUGUAUGUUAUUGUCAGUUCUAGUGCAUGUUUUAUGAA